rnacentral:lncRNA from 1 species
ACUGUCUCUGUGCCUGAAAAACCUGAAGGCUAGGCGCAUGUGAAGCGGCACAUGACGUGACGUGGGCUUUGUCACCCCACUGCCCGAGGGUAGGAGAAGGUAGGCACAGGCUGGCGGUAUACGAGGCUCUAAAGGGCCCGGGACGGUUCCCUUCAAAGGGGGGGGAAUGUAGCAGCCGGUACACAGUACGGUGCUAUAAAUACGUGCAGAGCGCGACCGCCAGCAACUCGAGAGACCUUUUCAGCGGUCAGCUGCUACAGCUAUGCUAUGCUAUCUGCAAGCAUAU